rnacentral:rRNA from 1 species
UACGAAGGGUGCAAGCGUUACUCGGAAUUACUGGGCGUAAAGCGUGCGUAGGCGGUUCGUUAAGUCUGAUGUGAAAGCCCUGGGCUCAACCUGGGAAUGGCAUUGGAAACUGGCGACCUAGAGUGCGGUAGAGGGUAGUGGAAUUCCCGGUGUAGCAGUGAAAUGCGUAGAGAUCGGGAGGAACAUCCGUGGCGAAGGCGACUACCUGGACCAGCACUGACACUGAGGCACGAAAGCGUGGGGAGCAAACGGG